GGAGAUGUGGUUCAAUGGUAGAUCGCUUGCUUUGCAGGUGUGAGACCCUGAGUUCAAUUCUCAGCACCA
rnacentral:tRNA from 1 species